AAAGAUUAAGCCAUGCAUGUCUAAGCACAUGCCUUAAUACGGUGAAGCCGCGAAUAGCUCAUUACAACAGCCACCGUUUACUAGAAUAUAGUUAUCCUACUUGGAUAACUGUGGCAAUUCUAGAGCUAAUACAUGCAAAAAAGCUCUGCCCGCAAGGAACGAGCGCAUUUAUUAGAAUAAAAACCAAUCGGGUUUCGGCCCGUAAUUUGGUGAAUCUGAAUAACUUUGCCAAUCGCACAGUCCUAGUACUGGCGAUGUAUCUUUCAAGUGUCUGCCUUAUCAACUUUCGAUGGUAGGUUAUACGCCUACCAAGGUAGUAACGGGUAACGGAGAAUAAGGGUUCGACUCCGGAGAGGGAGCCUGAGAAACGGCUACCACAUCCAAGGAAGGCAGCAGGCGCGCAAAUUACCCACUUCCAGAACGGAGAGGUAGUGACGAAAAAUAACGAGACAGUCCUCUUCGAGGUCUGUCAUCGGAAUGGGUACAAUUUAAAUCCUUUAACGAGGAUCUAUUGGAGGGCAAGUCUGGUGCCAGCAGCCGCGGUAAUUCCAGCUCCAAUAGCGUAUAUUAAAGUUGUUGCGGUUAAAACGCUCGUAGUUGGAUUUGCGGCCUCGGAGAACGGUCCCCCGAAAGGGUGGUCACUGUCUCUCCUAGCCUAAAUUCGAGUCGUCUCUAGGUGCUCUUAACCGGGUGCUUAGAGUGACUAGAACGUUUACUUUGAAAAAAUUAGAGUGCUUAAAGCAGGCGAAAUAGCCUGAAUAAGGUGCAUGGAAUAAUGGAAUAGGACCUCGGUUCUAUUUUGUUGGUUUUCGGAACCCGAGGUAAUGAUUAAGAGGAACAGACGGGGGCAUUCGUAUUCCGGCGCUAGAGGUGAAAUUCUUGGACCGCCGGAAGACGAACAACUGCGAAAGCAUUUGCCAAGAAUG
rnacentral:rRNA from 1 species